GUAGGUGAACCUGCGGAAGGAUCAUUACCGAGUUAGGGUUGCCCUGCAGCCCGACCUCCCAACCCUUUGUCUAAUUUACCUUGUCGUUGCUUCGGCGGACCGGUUGACCAACUGGUCUUGACCGCCGGGGGGUUCGCCCCCCUGGAGAGCGUCCGCCGACGGCCCAACCACAAACUCUUGUACCAAACCAUGUCGUCUGAAUUACUUGAUUAAAAUCAAAAAACAAAACUUUCAACAACGGAUCUCUUGGUUCUG
rnacentral:misc_RNA from 1 species